GAUGAACGCUGGCGGUAUGCUUAACACAUGCAAGUCGAACGGGGUGCAUAGUCACCUAGUGGCGGACGGGUGAGUAACGCGUGAGAAUCUGGCCUCAGGUCCGGGACAACCACGGGAAACGGUGGCUAAUACCGGAUGUGCCAUAUUGGUGAAAGAUUAAUUGCCUGAGGAUGAGCUCGCGUCUGAUUAGCUAGUUGGUGGGGUAAAGGCUUACCAAGGCGACGAUCAGUAACUGGUCUGAGAGGAUGACCAGUCACACUGGGACUGAGACACGGCCCAGACUCCUACGGGAGGCAGCAGUGGGGAAUUUUCCGCAAUGGGCGAAAGCCUGACGGAGCAAGACCGCGUGAGGGAGGAAGGCUCUUGGGUUGUAAACCUCUUUUCUCAGGGAAGAAGAAUGACGGUACCUGAGGAAUCAGCAUCGGCUAACUCCGUG
rnacentral:rRNA from 1 species